rnacentral:rRNA from 1 species
AUUGAACGCUGGCGGCAUGCCUUACACAUGCAAGUCGAACGGUAACGGGCCUUCGGGUGCCGACGAGUGGCGAACGGGUGAGUAAUGCAUCGGGAACGUACCUUUCAGUGGGGGAUAACGUAGCGAAAGUUACGCUAAUACCGCAUAUUCUGUGAGCAGGAAAGCAGGGGAUCGCAAGACCUUGCGCUGAUUGAGCGGCCGAUGUCAGAUUAGCUAGUUGGUGAGGUAAAGGCUCACCAAGGCGACGAUCUGUAGCGGGUCUGAGAGGAUGAUCCGCCACACUGGAACUGAGACACGGUCCAGACUCCUACGGGAGGCAGCAGUGGGGAAUUUUGGACAAAUGGGGGGCAAACCCUGAUCCAGCCAUGCCGCGUGAGUGAAGAAGGCCUCGGUU